rnacentral:rRNA from 1 species
AGCGAACGCUGGCGGCAGGCCUAACACAUGCAAGUCGAACGAACCUUUCGGGGUUAGUGGCGGACGGGUGAGUAACACGUGGGAACGUGCCUUUAGGUUCGGAAUAACUCAGGGAAACUUGUGCUAAUACCGAAUGUGCCCUUCGGGGGAAAGAUUAAUCGCCUUUAGAGCGGCCCGCGUCUGAUUAGCUAGUUGGUUGAGGUAAUGGCUCACCAAGGCGACGAUCAGUAGCUGGUCUGAGAGGAUGAUCAGCCACAUUGGGACUGAGACACGGCCCAAACUCCUACGGGAGGCAGCAGUGGGGAAUCUUGCGAAAUGGGCGAAAGCCUGACGCAGCCAUGCCGCGUGAAUGAUGAAGGUCUUAGGAUUGUAAAAUUCUUUCACCGGGGACGAUAAUGACGGUACCCGGAGAAGAAGCCCCGGCUAACUUCGUG